GUGGGGAAUAUUGCGCAAUGGGCGAAAGCCUGACGCAGCGACGCCGCGUGAGGGAUGAAGGUUUUCGGAUCGUAAACCUCUGUCAGAAGGGAAGAAACUACGUUGUGCUAAUCAGCAGCGUACUGACGGUACCUUCAAAGGAAGCACCGACUAACUCCGUGCCAGCAGCCGCGGUAAUACGGAGGGUGCAAGCGUUAAUCGGAAUUACUGGGCGUAAAGCGCACGUAGGCUGUAGUGUAAGUCAGGGGUGAAAUCCCACGGCUCAACCGUGGAACUGCCUUUGAUACUGCACAACUUGAAUCCGGGAGAGGGUGGCGGAAUUCCAGGUGUAGGAGUGAAAUCCGUAGAUAUCUGGAGGAACAUCAGUGGCGAAGGCGGCCUGCUGGACGACAACUGACGCUGAGGAGCGAAAGCGUGGGGAGCAAACAGGAUUAGAAACCCGGGUAGUCC
rnacentral:rRNA from 1 species